GUCACUUCUUGGCCUUUUGGCUAAGAUCAAGUGUAGAAAUCUAUAUUUUAUUUUAUUUUUCAUUUGGCUGCAGCACUU
rnacentral:snRNA from 1 species